rnacentral:rRNA from 1 species
UGGGGAAUAUUGGACAAUGGGCGCAAGCCUGAUCCAGCCAUGCCGCGUGUGUGAAGAAGGCCUUAUGGUUGUAAAGCACUUUAAGCGAGGAGGAGGCUACUUUAGUUAAUACCUAGAGAUAGUGGACGUUACUCGCAGAAUAAGCACCGGCUAACUCUGUGCCAGCAGCCGCGGUAAUACAGAGGGUGCAAGCGUUAAUCGGAUUUACUGGGCGUAAAGCGCGCGUAGGCGGCUAAUUAAGUCAAAUGUGAAAUCCCCGAGCUUAACUUGGGAAUUGCAUUCGAUACUGGUUAGCUAGAGUGUGGGAGAGGAUGGUAGAAGUCCAGGUGUAGCGGUGAAAUGCGUAGAGAUCUGGAGGAAUACCGAUGGCGAAGGCAGCCAUCUGGCCUAACACUGACGCUGAGGUGCGAAAGCAUGGGGAGCAAACAGG